rnacentral:rRNA from 1 species
CGUGUAGGCGGUUAGGCAAGUCAGAUGUGAAAGCCCGGGGCUUAACCCCGGAAGUGCGUUUGAAACUAUUGGGCUUGAGUAUGGGAGAGGGAAGUGGAAUUCCUGGUGUAGAGGUGAAAUUCGUAGAUAUCAGGAGGAACACCGGUGGCGAAGGCGACUUCCUGGACCAAUACUGACGCUGAGGCGCGAAGGCGUGGGGAGCAAACAGGAUUAGAUACCCUGGUAGUCC